GACGAACGCUGGCGGCGUGCUUAACACAUGCAAGUCGAACGGCAAGGCCCUGCUUUUGUGGGUUGCUCGAGUGGCGAACGGGUGAGUAACACGUGAGUAACCUGCCCUUGACUUUGGGAUAACUUCAGGAAACUGGGGCUAAUACCGGAUAGGAGCUCCUGCUGCAUGGUGGGGGUUGGAAAGUUUCGGCGGUUGGUGAUGGACUGGCGGCUUAUCAGCUUGUUGGUGGGGUAGUGGCUUACCAAGGCUUUGAAGGGUAGCCGGCCUGAGAGGGUGACCGGCCACAUUGGGACUGAGGUACGGCCCAGACUCCUACGGGAGGCAGCAGUGGGGAAUAUUACACAAUGGGCGGGAGCCUGAUACAGCAACGCCGCGUGCGGGAUGACGGCCUUCGAGUUGUAAACCGCUUUCGCCUGUGACGGAGCGUGAGUGACGGUAAUGGGUAAAGAAGCACCGGCUAACUACGUG
rnacentral:rRNA from 1 species